UACAGAGGUGCCAAGCGUUGUUCGGAUUUAUUGGGCGUAAAGGGUGCGUAGGCGGUCAUGCAAGUCGGUUGUGAAAUUCCGGAGCCUAACUCCGGAACUGCAUUCGAAACUGCAUGGCUCGAGGUCUGGAGAGGUAAUUGGAAUUCUAGGUGUAGCAGUGAAAUGCGUAGAUAUCAGGAGGAAUACCGGUGGUGUAGACGGCUCUCUGGACCGCCACUGACGCUGAGACACGAAAGCGUGGGUAGCAAACAGG
rnacentral:rRNA from 1 species